UACCAGCUCUUCGAGUGGUAGGGAUGAUUAUUGGGCUUAAAGCGUCCGUAGCCGGCUUAGCAAGUCUCCUGUUAAAUUCAGCGACCUAAUCGUUGAGCCGCGGGAGAUACUACUAGGCUAGGAGGCGGGAGAGGUCGACGGUACUUCCGGGGUAGGGGUGAAAUCCUAUAAACCCGGGAGGACCACCAGUGGCGAAGGCUGUCGACUAGAACGCGCUCGACGGUGAGGGACGAAAGCUGGGGGAGCGAACCGGAUUAGAUACCCGGGUAGUCCCAGCUGUAAACGAUGCGGGCUAGGUGUUGGGGUGGCUACGGGCCACUUCAGUGCCGCAGGGAAACCAUUAAGCCCGCCGCCUGGGGAGUACGGCCGCAAGGCUGAAACUUAAAGGAAUUGGCGGGGAGCACCACAAGGCGUGAAGCUUGCGGUUC
rnacentral:rRNA from 1 species